UGUAAGAACAUGGCCCACUUACUAAACUGAUUUUCUGCCCUGCUGGUCGAUUCAUCAUGUGGUCCUUAACACAGGCAGGGGAGGAGGUGCCCACUGCCUGAUUAGCAAAACCAAGCCCUUAGUGAGGUGCACGAGUGUGUUUCCCAUAAGACUGGCCCUGCUAGCUCUUCUUGGUCUGUAAUGCUGGCUGAAUACAAUACCUUCAUGGUACCACUAGCCAGCCUUGCUGUCUUAUGCUUAGUUACCUUUCCUUCUUAUCUCCCUUGUCCUUGGGCAGGGGAAGAAGCUGAGACAAGUAGAAGAGUGUUUCCUCCUCAGGCCACAAAGCAGCUGUCCCUGCCACAGUCCGUGAGCUCUCCGAGCAUUCCAUCAGGUGGAUCUGAAUCACCCAAAUCCCAGCCUUCCCAAUCCCAGUCUUUCCUUGGGCCUGCUGUGCUGACAGAUGGAAGCAGUGAACCAUCGAGCUCAGUGGGGAUUCAGGGCACCUGGGAAACUGGGUGAAGGUCGGGCCCACUGGCCAUGAGCUUGGAGGACUGGUGUGUGAUGAGCUUCUGUGUUCCCACAGGCCACCGAGGCCCAGAGAGCUUGCGGAAGAUGAAGAUCUAUUGCCUCUCCUUCCGGCAGCCUUAUUCUGGCUUUGUCUUAAACGGGGUAAAGACCUUGGAAACACGUUAGGGUCCCCUGAUGGGCAACCACCAGAACCAUACCAUCGCCAGGCCUUGCUUCCAGAAGGGGAGAAUUUUGGCCGAGGACUGGUAGCUGAGGAGCAAGCCCUGUCCUCUUCAUUUCUGGAGCCUUCACUCUGCCUCACCCAGGAUUCCCGGAACAUGUUUGGCUCAUCAUCUGUGCUCAGUGAGAAGGCCCUGCUGCCCUUCCUGUCCUUGUGCUGAUGUCGUCUAAGUCUGUAGUGGCCAUAAUUUUGAAUAACCAAGUUGUCACACUGCCAGGCCUUUGUUUAUGGAAGGAAAAACCACCUGGGUGUUUCUCUCUUUGUGCACAGGGCUUGUUGACUUUGGCGAAAUGUUGGAGUGUCCUGAGAACUUAGCUCCUGAGGAAGUUGUGGAAUUGGAAAAGCAAGCUGUCCUGGCCAUCCUGCAGCAGAAAUACCUGACUGUGAUUUCCAACCCCAGGUGGAAACUGGAGCCCUUACCUAGAAAAGGAGGAAAUGAUAUAUUCCAGGUUGACAUCCCAAAGUAUCUGAUCCCUUUUGACCAGAAGGUGUGACGUGUGUGGGCUCUUGAGAUGAAUGUAGCUGAGAAACCAGCUAAAUCAUGGUACCGUUGAUUCGCCAUCUUGGUGAACGUGCAUGUAGAUCAGGUUAAGUGUGAAUUACCCCUGCGUUGUACCAUGAUUCCUACUAAAUGGCAUUCAUAGAAACGGGUUUCUGUGCUCACAAGAAGGGAAUAGGGGGUGUUGCUGGUCAUUUUGUUCCUACUAAUGUCUGGGUUGUACAAAUAAAUGUGUCAAAGUUAACUGAGAA